rnacentral:rRNA from 1 species
GACGAACGCUGGCGGCGUGCUUAACACAUGCAAGUUGAACGGAAAGGCCCUGCUUUUGUGGGGUGCUCGAGUGGCGAACGGGUGAGUAACACGUGAGUAGCCUGCCCUUGACUUUGGGAUAACUUCAGGAAACUGGGGCUAAUACCGGAUAGGAGCUCCUGCUGCAUGGUGGGGGUUGGAAAGUUUCGGCGGUUGGGGAUGGACUCGCGGCUUAUCAGCUUGUUGGUGGGGUAGUGGCUUACCAAGGCUUUGACGGGUAGCCGGCCUGAGAGGGUGACCGGCAAAAUGGGGAUUGAGUUACGGCCAGGCCUCUUCCGGGAGGAAGAAGUGGGGAAUAUUGACCAUUGGCCGGAGGCCGGAUGAAGAACCCCGGGGUGGGGGAUGACGCCCUUCGGGUUGAAAACCGCUUUCGCCUGUGACGAAGCGUGAGGGACGGUAAUGGGUAAAGAAGAACCGGCUAACUACGU